GUGGGGAAUAUUGCACAAUGGAGGAAACUCUGAUGCAGCGACGCCGCGUGAGUGAAGAAGGUCUUCGGAUCGUAAAACUCUGUCCUUGGUGACGAAAAAAAUGACGGUAGCCAAGGAGGAAGCCCCGGCUAACUACGUGCCAGCAGCCGCGGUAAUACGCAGGGGGCAAGCGUUGUCCGGAUUUACUGGGUGUAAAGGGCGCGCAGGCGGGAUAAAAAGUCAGUGGUGAAAUCCUACAGCUUAACUGUAGAACUGCCUUUGAUACUUUUAUUCUUGAGUUCGGGAGAGAGAGACGGAAUUCCAGGUGUAGUGGUGAAAUACGUAGAUAUCUGGAAGAACACCAGUUGCGAAGGCGGUCUCUUGGUCCGACACUGACGCUGAGGCGCGAAAGCGUGGGGAGCAAACA
rnacentral:rRNA from 1 species